rnacentral:rRNA from 1 species
CCUACGGGUGGCUGCAGUGAGGAAUAUUGGUCAAUGGGCGCGAGCCUGAACCAGCCAAGUCGCGUGAGGGAUGACGGUCCUACGGAUUGUAAACCUCUUUUGCCGGGGAGCAAGCGUGCGUUCGUGAACGCGCGUCGAGAGUACCCGGAGAAAAAGCAUCGGCUAACUCCGUGCCAGCAGCCGCGGUAAUACGGAGGGUCCGGGCGUUAUCCGGAUUUAUUGGGUUUAAAGGGAGCGUAGGCCGCAUGUCAAGCGUGCUGUGAAAUGUCCGGGCUCAACCCGGGCCUUGCAGCGCGAACUGGCGUGCUUGAGUCCGCGGAAAGCAGGCGGAAUUCGUCGUGUAGCGGUGAAAUGCUUAGAUAUGACGAAGAACCCCGAUUGCGAAGGCAGCUUGCUGCAGCGGAACUGACGCUGAUGCUCGAAAGCGCGGGUAUCGAACAGGAUUAGAUACCCCAGUAGUC